AGUGAACGCUGGCGGCGUGCUUAACACAUGCAAGUCGAACGGUAACAGCAGGAGCUUGCUCCUGGCUGACGAGUGGCGCACGGGUGAGUAAUAUAUAGUUAAUGUGCCUUCAAGACCGGGAUAGCCAUUGGAAACGAUGAUUAAUACUGGAUAUACCGCUCUAACAUAAGUUAGAGUGGGAAAUGUUUUUUCGCUUGAAGAUCAGACUAUAUCGCAUCAGUUAGUUGGUGGGGUAAUGGCCUACCAAGGCAAUGACGCGUAGCGGGUUUGAGAGGAUGAUCCGCCACACUGGUACUGAGACACGGACCAGACUCCUACGGGAGGCAGCAGUGAGGAAUAUUGCACAAUGGGGGAAACCCUGAUGCAGCAACGCCGCGUGGAGGAUGACGCAUUUCGGUGUGUAAACUCCUUUUAUAUGUCAAGAAAAUGACGGUAGCAUAUGAAUAAGCACCGGCUAACUCCG
rnacentral:rRNA from 1 species